GACGAACGCUGGCGGCGUGCUUAACACAUGCAAGUCGAACGGAAAGGCCCUGCUUGCAGGGUACUCGAGUGGCGAACGGGUGAGUAACACGUGGGUGAUCUGCCCUGCACUUCGGGAUAAGCCUGGGAAACUGGGUCUAAUACCGGAUAGGAGCCAUUUUUAGUGUGAUGGUUGGAAAGUUUUUUCGGUGUAGGAUGAGCUCGCGGCCUAUCAGCUUGUUGGUGGGGUAAUGGCCUACCAAGGCGGCGACGGGUAGCCGGCCUGAGAGGGUGGACGGCCACAUUGGGACUGAGAGACGGCCCAGGCUCCUACGGGGGGCAGCAGUGGGGAAUAUUGCACAAUGGGCGCAAGCCUGAUGCAGCGACGCCGCGUGGGGGAUGACGGCCUUCGGGUUGUAAACUCCUUUCGCUAGGGACGAAGCUUUUUGUGACGGUACCUAGAUAAGAAGCACCGGCUAACUACGUG
rnacentral:rRNA from 1 species